GUCACCAGGUCCCUUCAUUCAUAGAUCUCAGUAGCUUAUGGCAGAGACAAACAAGAAGUCACAGUUUGCUGCUUAAGGCAGUGAAGACGAAGAAGUACCCUAGAAGGCCACCUGCUCUGGAAUCCCCAGUCCAUCUACCAGCUUGGUAACCUUGGGCACAGUUACUUGGCUGCCCAGCAACUCAACACAAUCAGUUUCUUUAUCUGUGAAAUGCGGUUAAAUAAUAGUAGUACCUUCCUGCAGUGGUUAAUCUUAAUGGUCCACUAGAUUGGAUGAAGAGACACCUAGGAAAUUUCUGGAUGUCUCUCUGGGGGGUGUUUCUAGAGAUGAUUGAUAGUGUAGAACAACAAACGGGAAAAGCCCCGCCCUGAAUGUGAGUGGCACUGUACGAUAGACUUGGGCCCCAGAUGGAACAAACAUGGAAGGAGAAAGCCCACACACAGCACAUGCAAGCUCCAUUCUUCUUGGGCAGGUGCAUCUUCGGCUGCUGCCAUCUCCUGCAGACCUUGGACGCCAGCUUCUCCUGCACUUCUGUGUAGGCUCUCACCAGUGACUCUUCAGGGAGCUUUGAGUCCUUCAUCUUGGGACUAGAGCAGCAUCAGUGGUCCCUCAUGUUCUGAGGCUGUAGCUUUCAGGGCUGAGCACCAUUGGUUUCUCUGGCUCUCAUUAUGGGGCUACCCAGCCUCUGAUUAUGGAACCCCCCCCCCCAAAAAAAAAAAAAACCCUUUUAUAAUCAUACCUAUCCAUAUCGUGUUGGUUCUGCUCCUCUGAGAACCCUGACUAACACACUUCCUCUAAGAUUGUUGUCAGAAUUAAGUGAGCUAAUUCACUUUGUAGCUUGAACAGUGCCUGCCUGGCACAUGGCCAGUAUUUGAUCAGUGUUAGCUGUUGUCAUGGGCUAAAGCAGAGUACAAGACAGGCACUUAAUUCAGUCUUUUUAAAAAAUAAUUUUACAGACAGGUACUAAUCUGUUAGCUACUCCGUCUUGCCAACUUAUGACACUGAGAUAAGGGAGGCUUAGAUAAUUAGCAGUGAAGUGCAUCUUGUAGUUUUAGGAGAUUGCACAAGCCUCCCAUGUAAUCCUCAUGACCUUCUGGUGAAAGUGAUUCCUGACUCUGUAGCUAAGUGAAGUGAAGGUCACACUGUUUGUUCAACUCUGGGCAAGGAGUCUCAGCUUGCAGAAGGGAAUUGGCUUGGACUGGAAUUCAGAUGUGGCUGACUUAAAAUAUCAUGCAUCUUCCACUGCACUGGGCAACUUUAUUUAUUUCUAUUUUGCUGAAUGAGAAUUGAGCUGACCGAGUGAGACCUGGUAUGGUGGAGUGACUGGAUAAUGACAUGGCUCGUUAAUUCAUCAGCAGAGUCA
rnacentral:lncRNA from 1 species